CACUGAAAACACUGUACAACUAUCAUGUCUGAUAUUCAACCAGGUGCUUCAAGGAUUAAGUUUCUUGACCAAGACUAUCCAGCUAAUAAUUAAACUGCAAGCUCAGGGAUUAUACUUUGUUUUAUACAGUUCCAUGAAGUUAAUGAACUCAUAACUACAUUCUACCUACGUGGAUUUUUUGACUAAUACGUACAGUUAAAAGAGAAGCUACGUGAAGUUACGAGGAAGCCGAGACCUGCAUUUGUUCAUUAUGGCUCUGUACUUUGGAAUCUCUCGGGGUGAAUACUUUGGGGAGCCUGAAGAACUCCAUUAGUGUGACUCUCUUAAGUCAGCUCUACUGGUUAGUGAAGUCCCUGACCCUGCACAUCGUGGCACAUGAAGACACACGCUUCUUGAACAGCUUGUCAUUUGCCUACGAAAAUGGAAGCGAAAUACAGCAACAUUGAAGCUUCCUUGAAUUUGCAGUCACGAUUUCCAAGACAACUGUAGAUGUAAGGUGGAUUAUAUUAACAGCUCCUAAUCCAGGCAGUGCUCUUGCAUGCACACUACAGCCGCUGGCUUUCUGCUUUCUCAUAUCUACAGUGAACUACGAAAAACCCUGGUGGGGGGAAUAAGGUGAAAUUUCCAGGACUCAAAAACAG